CGCUAGCUACAGGCUUAACACAUGCAAGUCGAGGGGCAGCAUGGUCUUAGCUUGCUAAGGCUGAUGGCGACCGGCGCACGGGUGAGUAACACGUAUCCAACCUGCCGUCUACUCUUGGCCAGCCUUCUGAAAGGAAGAUUAAUCCAGGAUGGCAUCAUGAGUUCACAUGUCCGCAUGAUUAAAGGUAUUUUCCGGUAGACGAUGGGGAUGCGUUCCAUUAGAUAGUAGGCGGGGUAACGGCCCACCUAGUCAACGAUGGAUAGGGGUUCUGAGAGGAAGGUCCCCCACAUUGGAACUGAGACACGGUCCAAACUCCUACGGGAGGCAGCAGUGAGGAAUAUUGGUCAAUGGGCGGUGGCCUGAACCAGCCAAGUAGCGUGAAGGAUGACGG
rnacentral:rRNA from 1 species